GGCGGACGUAGCCAAGUGGAUCAAGGCAAUGGAUUUGUGAAUCCA
rnacentral:tRNA from 1 species